rfam:Beta vulgaris subsp. vulgaris 0248.scaffold00656.con0011.1, whole genome shotgun sequence.
AGGAGAUAUGAGGAUAUGUAUCCACCUUUUCUGUAAUUUAGUGAUGAAUAUAUUACAUGCACUACCAUCUGAUCUCUA